GACGAACGCUGGCGGCGUGCUUAACACAUGCAAGUCGAACGGAAAGGCCCUGCUUUUGUGGGGUGCUCGAGUGGCGAACGGGUGAGUAACACGUGAGUAACCUGCCCUUGACUUUGGGAUAACUUCAGGAAACUGGGGCUAAUACCGGAUAGGAGCUCCUGCUGCAUGGUGGGGGUUGGAAAGUUUCGGCGGGUGGGGAUGGACUCGCGGCUUAUCAGCUUGUUGGGGGGGUAGUGGCUUACCAAGGCUUUGACGGGUAGCCGGCCUGAGAGGGUGACCGGCCACAUUGGUCCUGAGAUACGGCCCAGACUCCUACGGGAGGCAGCAGUGGAGAAUAUUGCACAAUGGGCGGACGCCUGAUGCAGCAACGCCGCGUGCGGGAUGACGGCCUUCGGGUUGUAAACCGCUUUCGCCUGUGACGAAGCGUGAGUGACGGUAAUGGGUAAAGAAGCACCGGCUAACUACGUG
rnacentral:rRNA from 1 species